CAGCCGCCACGGUAAUACGUAGGGGGCAAGCGUUAUCCGGAAUUACUGGGUGUAAAGGGAGCGUAGACGGUUAAACAAGUCUGAAGUGAAAUGCCGGGGCUCAACCCCGGAGCUGCUUUGGGAACUGUAGAACUGGAGUGUCGGAGGGGUAAGCGGAAUUCCCAGUGUAGCGGUGAAAUGCGUAGAUAUAUGGAGGAACACCGGUGGCGAAAGCGGCUCUCUGGUCUGUAACUGACGCUGAGGCUCGAAAGCGUGGGGAGCGAACAGGAUUAGAUACCCCCGUAGUCCCUGUCUCUUAUAC
rnacentral:rRNA from 1 species